AAUCUUUGAACGCACAUUGCGCCCGCCAGUACUCUGGCGGGCAUGCCUGUUCGAGCGUCAUUUCAACCCUCAAGCCCUGCUUGGUGUUGGGGUCCUACGGCUGCCGUAGGCCCUGAAAGCUAGUGGCGGGCUCGCUAUAACUCCGAGCGUAGUAGUAAAAUAUCUCGCUAGGGAGGUGUCGCGGGUUCCGGCCGUGAAAGCCCAUCUUUUACACAAGGUUGACCUCGGAUCAGGUAGGAAUACCCGCUGAACUUAAGCAUAUCAAUAAGCGGAGGAAAAGAAACCAACAGGGAUUGCCCCAGUAACGGCGAGUGAAGCGGCAACAGCUCAAAUUUGAAAUCUGGCUUCGGCCCGAGUUGUAAUUUGUAGAGGAUGCUUUUGGUGAGGUGCCUUCUGAGUUCCCUGGAACGGGACGCCAGAGAGGGUGAGAGCCCCGUAUAGUUGGACACCGAGCCUCUGUAAAGCUCCUUCGACGAGUCGAGUAGUUUGGGAAUGCUGCUCAAAAUGGGAGGUAUAUCUCUUCUAAAGCUAAAUACUGGCCAGAGACCGAUAGCGCACAAGUAGAGUGAUCGAAAGAUGAAAAGCACUUUGAAAAGAGGGUUAAAUAGUACGUGAAAUUGUUGAAAGGGAAGCGCUUGUGACCAGACUUGUGCCCGGCUGAUCAUCCAGUGUU
rnacentral:rRNA from 1 species